rnacentral:rRNA from 1 species
AACGAACGCUGGCGGCAGGCCUAACACAUGCAAGUCGAGCGCGCCCUUCGGGGUUAGCGGCGGACGGGUGAGUAACGCGUGGGAACGUGCCCUUCUCUGCGGAAUAGCCUCGGGAAACUGAGAGUAAUACCGCAUACGCCCUUUGGGGGAAAGAUUUAUCGGAGAAGGAUCGGCCCGCGUUGGAUUAGGUAGUUGGUGGGGUAAUGGCCCACCAAGCCGACGAUCCAUAGCUGGUUUGAGAGGAUGAUCAGACACACUGGGACUGAGACACGGCCCAGACUCCUACGGGAGGCAGCAGUGGGGAAUCUUAGACAAUGGGGGCAACCCUGAUCUAGCCAUGCCGCGUGAGUGAUGAAGGCCUUAGGGUUGUAAAGCUCUUUCAGCUGGGAAGAUAAUGACGGUACCAGCAGAAGAAGCCCCGGCUAACUCCGUG